rnacentral:tRNA from 1 species
GUAGUGGUGGUGUAAUGGUCAGCACAGUUGCCUUCCAAGCAGUUGAUCCGGGUUCGAUUCCCGGCCAUCGCA